UUGAAUCCACUGAUAGACCUUGAACAACCUAACAUUGUUCUUUUGGUUUGCACUAGGAUGGGAAAGAAAAAAAUCCCUGCACUUUCUGUCUGUCUGUCUUUGUGGCAGCCCAGAUUGAAUAGGGGACUACACCU